UCUUGCAUCUUGUAACAAUCAGGUUCUAUUGUUCAUUUAUUAAUACAAUUGCAUAUUAGGGUUUAUCCCUCUCUUCUUGUUCUUUGUUCAAUUAUUAUUUUGUUCUUGAUUGAUUGGUUGAAUUCAGGUCUCCUGGGAUCUAUAUUGGUAUCAGAGCCAAGGCUCAAAGAAUCAAGAUCAUGGGUUCAAUUCUUCAAUCAAGGCAAGGGUUAUGCGGUUCAGAAGAAUCAAGAAUCAUCUGAGGGAAAAGGAAAAUCGGUUGGUGCCGGUUUCGGUGAUGAAAGGACGAGCGGUGGAAAGUGCGGCCGGGCUGCAACAAGGGGAAGAAUUUUGCGCAGGGGAAGCCAUCCACGAGUUCGUGAAAAUCACCCAUUAAGAAAUUUCCCAAGAAGUUGAUCACGAAGUCGCAUACAGUUAAAAAUAUUGGGUUCAGAGAUUGCCCAAGGAGAAAAGAUACAGAGAAGGAAGAGAGGAUGCCAUCACAAAGAUCAAUCGCAAGAGACGGUGUUUGGGUCUGGGAAUUCCCUAAGGACUUGCAGGGUUGAAGAUUGUUGAUGGAAUCAUCGCGGGAACAUAAUGGUUUGCAUAGUCAUAUGUAGACAUGGAUAAGGCCGCAAAGGUUUUGGUGUAGUGUGUGACGCAUACACCAGGAUUAAAGUUUGCCCAGGAAGAAGCAUGCAAAGUUCAAGAAUCAAACUUGGAUCAACAACUAGGGGGGUGAAUGUUGGCCUUAAUUGUGUGAUCAAAGUUUGAUAGAAGUGCAAGGGUUGGUUAUGCAUUAGUUUAAAGUUAUUUAGAUGGCGGUUACAAAGUAGUUAUAAAAUAUGGGGACUAAAGUUGACAAUCUGGAAGUUGGCAACUUCUCCUCUAAUCGAAAGGGUAUGUCCCUGAGGACAUGUUUGUUCGCGAUUGGCUGCAUACAAGGGAUCAAGGGAUGCGACUUGUGGAUGUAAAGACACACCUCUUCAAGUUUCAUUCUCAUCCACAUGUUUUAGAGACGUGACUAUUCGUGAAAGGACACGACUCUACACACGCACCCAUUGAAGUCUAUAAAUAGUUUAGUUUUAGUUUGUAUUUUUGUAAUAUGGAAUAUUGUAUCUUGCAUCUUGUAACAAUCAGGUUCUAUUGUUCAUUUAUUAAUACAAUUGCAUAUUAGGGUUUAUCCCUCUCUUCUUGUUCUUUGUUCGAUUAUUAUUUUGUUCUUGAUUGAUGGGUUGAAUUCAUGGUCUCCUGGGAUCUAUACACCAAAGUCAAUCAAUAUAGUUUAGUUUCUUCUAUCUGGCUGUUAUGUUAUAAAAUGUGUUUUUUGCUUGCAGACAUCUAUCAACACAGGUCCUCGCGGAGCUUUACGACUGGCCCAAGCUGGUAUUCAAGCAGUCAUUGGUGUUGGUGGCGAGUGGCUAACUGAAUUAUCACAGUCACGGAAUUCACCUAGCGAAAUACCAUCACGGCUUCAGCUUGGAUUGCUAUCACCUCUUUAGCUCAGGAAAUUACUCGAAUGUAUGGGUGCUACCUAUAUAAAGUUAGGUCAGGUGAGCUAGAUUACUUCAGAAUUUGUUACUGAUCAGUAACUAAUCCAAUUAGUGACUCAUGUUUAUGAACUUUUGUCUUAAACUCCAUUUGUGAUAAAACGAAUCAAAACUCCAUUUGUGAUAAAACCAAUCAAAUGGUAAAUUUAAUAAA